ensembl:lncRNA novel transcript
UUCAGUAACUUCUCCCCCAUCAAAGAGAUCCUCUAUAAAGAGGUCUGGACCUCAGCCCUGGAUGUCAUGCCUCUUCCAGACAUGUUCUUACUUGGGUGCUCUGCAACAGCCCUGUUCCUUGAUCCUGUGUAGUUAAAGGCAGAACUAAGAAGUAUGAUAAAAGUGUGGCCCAUUUCCUAUAUGCUUGGAGUGAACUUUGGCUACAUAGCUGGCCUUAUUUCACUACUCUGGAUGGUGUACAUUUUUAAAGCUGACAGCCAAGAGCAUAAUUAGAGUCUAAUAAAACACAGAAAAGUCACAAAUGCAAAGUGGAAUAAACAGUAAACAGUGAGGGAAGAGAAGAUCCCGGAGUGUGAUGGCUGGGGCAAAAAGGAGGCAAAUAUCUAAAAAGCUAAAUAAAAUUCUCUAACAGAGAGGCUCUUCGGGAUGAUGAAGGAAAAUGCAGAGCAGUUACAAUUCUGAAAUUAAUGGUUAUUUCUAAGAAUCAGUCACAUUUCAGAACAUUGACCACUGUACAUAAAAAAAGUCAUUGUCUUUUUAAGUUUUUUCUUAAAAAACUAAUUUUUG